UAUCUCUGUAGAGUCUGCAUAUCAAUAAGCGGAGGAAAAGAAACUAACUAGGAUUCCCUCAGUAACGGCGAGUGAAGCGGGAAGAGCUCAAAUUUGAAAUCUUCAAGGUUCUACCUUGACGAAUUGUAGUUUAAAGAAGUGUUUUCGGUUAGAGGAGUAGUAAAAGUUCUUUGGAAUAGGACAUCAUAGAGGGUGAGAAUCCCGUAUUUGACUAUUCUUUCUAGCUUUGUGAUACACUUUCAAAGAGUCGGAUUGUUUGGGAAUGCAGUCCAAAAUGGGUGGUAAAUUUCAUCUAAAGCUAAAUAUUGGCGAGAGACCGAUAGCGAACAAGUACCGUGAGGGAAAGAUGAAAAGAACUUUGAAAAGAGAGUUAAACAGUACGUGAAAUUGUCAAAAGGGAAGCGUUUGACACCAGUGUUGUUUUUCCGAAAAUCAAUUACGAAUGUUUUGUUUUUGAGAAGUUAUGACUUCAUCGGCUUGCUUCUUUCUUUACGAAACUUUCUUAAUGCACUUUUCGGUUAACAAGUCAACAUCAAUUUCUUUUGUUGUAAAAGGGUACGAGGAAGGUGGCUUUCUUUUCGGAGAAAGUGUUUAUAGCCUUGUGCCUCUGCAAUCGGAGAGAUUGAGGUCUGCAGCGUAGAUCCUUCGGGGUUAGAUACAUUUGUGCUAAGUUAUAGCUUUUCAUAGACAACUUGUUGACUAUGUUUAGUCUUGUAGCUUACUCGCUUAUGCUAUUUUACCUACGCUUAGGAUGUUGAUGUGAUACUGCGAGCA
rnacentral:rRNA from 1 species